rnacentral:rRNA from 1 species
GUCUGUGAUCAUACCACCCUGAAUGCACCCAAUCUCAUCUGUUCUUGGAAGCUAAGCAGGGUCAGGCCUGGUUAGUACUUGGAUGGGAGAAAAACAAAAACUGGAGAGGUGGGGGUGAAAAACAAAGGUUACACAAG